rnacentral:rRNA from 1 species
CUCGUAGGCGGCCAACUAAGUCAGACGUGAAAUCCCUCGGCUUAACCGGGGAACUGCGUCUGAUACUGGAUGGCUGGAGUUUGGGAGAGGGAUGCGGAAUUCCAGGUGUAGCGGUGAAAUGCGUAGAUAUCUGGAGGAACACCGGUGGCGAAGGCGGCAUCCUGGACCAAUACUGACGCUGAGGAGCGAAAGCCAGGGGAGCAAACGGGAUUAGAUACCCCGGUAGUCCUGGCCCUAAACGAUGAAUGCUUGGUGUGACGGGUAUCGAUCCCUGUCGUGCCGAAGCUAACGCAUUAAGCAUUCCGCCUGGGGAGUACGGUCGCAAGGCUGAA